rnacentral:rRNA from 1 species
ACUCCUACGGGAGGCAGCAGUGGGGAAUUUUCCACAAUGGGCGAAAGCCUGAUGGAGCAACGCCGCGUGUGUGAUGAAGGCCUUCGGGUUGUAAAGCACUUUCGAUCGGAACGAAACUCCGCAAGCUAAUAUCUUGCGGCUUGACGGUACCGGAAGAAGAAGCACCGGCUAACCCUGUGCCAGCAGCCGCGGUAAUACAGAGGGUGCAAGCGUUGUUCGGAAUUAUUGGGCGUAAAGCGCGUGUAGGCGGCUUGAUAAGUCGGGUGUGAAAGCCCUCAGCUUAACUGAGGAAGUGCGCCCGAAACUGUUGGGCUGGAGUGCCGGAGAGGAUAGCGGAAUUCUCGGAGUAGAGGUGAAAUUCGUAGAUACCGAGAGGAACACCGGUGGCGAAGGCGGCUAUCUGGACGGUAACUGACGCUGAGACGCGAAAGCGUGGGUAGCAAACAGGAUUAGAUACCCUGGUAGUCCACGCUGUAAACGAUGAGAACUAGCUGUCGUGGGUGUUGACCCCCGCGGUGGCGCAGCUAACGCAUUAAGUUCUCCGCCUGGG